rnacentral:rRNA from 1 species
GAUGAACGCUAGCGGCAGGCUUAAUACAUGCAAGUCGUGGGGCAGCAGGUUUGUAGCAAUACAGAUGCUGGCGACCGGCAAACGGGUGCGGAACACGUACAGAACCUUCCUUUGAGCGGGGAAUAGCCCAGAGAAACUUGGAUUAAUACCCCAUAGUAUAAUGAAGUGGCAUCACUUUAUUAUUAAGAUUUAUCACUCGAAGAUGGCUGUGCGGCUGAUUAGGUAGUUGGCGGGUAAAGGGCCCACCAAGCCUGCGAUCAGUAACUGGUGUGAGAGCACGACCAGUCACACGGGCACUGAGACACGGGCCGACUCCUACGGGAGGCAGCAGUAAGGAAUAUUGGUCAAUGGA